rnacentral:lncRNA from 1 species
AUAUUGUUUAAGCCACUGUUGAGGGUUCACUAUUAUCUGCAGCUGAAACUAAUCCCAACUCAUACAGAUUAGAAAUAAAUAGGGAUGUAUACAAUGCCGAAGAUGUAGUGGUAGUGCAGAGAAAUUGGCCCAGGUUCUUUACACAGGCUAAUGGAAAUGAGCUCAACAUAAGUGCCCAAAGCAACAAAAGGGUAAGGCAGGGAGGGGGAGCGGGCAAGGAGUGCCAAGCCCAGAGGCCAGGAAGGCAGUCAUUAUACUCACCCCAGGCUGGGCCUGAGCACAAUCUCACAAAACUUAACUCAGUGAAGAUUCAGGGCACCACCACCAAUUCUUUAGAUUGGAUAUAAGCCAAGAGAGACAUAGUACACAAAGGCUCUACGGCAAUUUUUUUUUUUUUUUUUUUUUUUUUUUUUUUUGGUGAAGAAUGA